UUCAGUUGGGCACUCUAAUGAGACUGCCGGUGACAAACCGGAGGAAGGUGGGGAUGACGUCAAGUCCUCAUGGCCCUUAUGGGUAGGGCUUCACACGUCAUACAAUGGUCGGUACAGAGGGUUGCCAACCCGCGAGGGGGAGCUAAUCUCACAAAGCCGAUCGUAGUCCGGAUCGCAGUCUGCAACUCGACUGCGUGAAGUCGGAAUCGCUAGUAAUCGUGGAUCAGCAUGUCACGGUGAAUACGUUCCCGGGUCUUGUACACACCGCCCGUCACACCAUGGGAGUGGGUUUCACCAGAAGUAGGUAGUCUAACCGCAAGGAGGGCGCUUACCACGGUGGGGUUCAUGACUGGGGUGAAGUCGUAACAAGGUAACCGU
rnacentral:rRNA from 1 species